rnacentral:sRNA from 1 species
UGUAUAACAAUGUUCCUUACAAUUAUGAC